UGAAAAGCAGCAAUGAGAGCGGGAAGGCACAGGGUGACCUGCAGCCCCCAAACCCUACCUUGCCCUGGAUUUGGAGAGAAAAGCAUCUCAUCAGACAUGCAGCACCUCCCUGGGACUCUUGCCAACAGCACUGGCAGGAGAGUGCAGCACCCUUUCCCCUGCAGGACGCCAGCAGCUCCAAGACUGCAUGUCCUGACCGGUUUCCACCUGGGCCACAAGGAGGCGACCAGAAACGCUCUCAACGACCUCCAUUUCACUGCCAGGUACCGUGUUUCUGGGAAAAUGGCUCAGGAACGAUGGAUGGGGCUAUCUUGACACGCCUAUUUCCUCUGCUGACCUUUCUCCAUCUCCAACAUGGGAGCCCCUGAGGUCUCUUCAUUCAAGAGGAAUUGUUGCAACAGUGAAACAUUUUCUGACCAGAUGUAGAGGGAGCUACAGGAGGAAACACCUUUACACAUGUGGGAGGUGCCUGGAGAGGUUUAUUCUACAGAUAUAUAUGAAUAUCUAUCCAUUCCUCCUUGAUCAGAAUCUAUUAAUUGCGAUUUCGGUUUGAUAGAAAAAUUCUUAAAGAUGUGUCAUACUCUCAAAAAAAUAAAUAUGAAGGCACCUGAAUGUCUAUCUAGGAAGCCUGGAUGAAGAACAGAUGACAGAAUUCUUUCAAAGAUUUAAUCAGGUAAAUUUGCCACACUGUAAACUCACAUGACAUGAAUUGUGUGUGUCUGAGAAGGCUCUGGGAGACCCACUACUUUACCUGGCGGGGAGUCACGUGGGAACACGCACUAGCUGAACGCCCCACUCACCUUCACUCCUCCCCCGACCUCGUGUCUCCUGGCCUGGAAACAGCCAGUGGCACAAGAGCUCAAUGUCACGCUCUGGCCACAGAAAAAAUGCUGUAUCCUCCUUCUCCCUGAACAUCUGGUCGUCUUUCCCCCUUCACCCAAUAAUCAGUAGAGCAUGCUGGUCAACAGCAAGAUGUACGAAACAAAGAUACAUCAAUUUUAAUGUACAGGCUUCAAAGUUCAGGUCCUUUUAAACUGUGCUUUUCGUUAUUCAGAAGACCUUGCUGUUGCUUUUCCAUGACAAUUUGUCAUUUUGGUCAAACAACUUUAACUGGACUUAAAACAAUGCUCUCUAGCUGCGUGAAGGUAGCCCUGAUUGUGGCAGCAUCUUGAAGACCAUAUGAAAGAGUUCCUGCUGGUGCACAGCCACUGCUGUCUCCUCAGUGGAGAAGGAUCCCAAGGACAGGUUCCACUUCCUAACUCUGGAGGCUGGGACUGCAACACUGUAUUUUCCCCUCCCCUGCUGCUCUGACUUGUCACUAGGCAGUCCCUGCGAGCAGCAGCGUGGAGAUGGCUCCUAGACCCCAAACAGGGGAAGCUUUCCUGACCUGCCUGUUCACACCACUGGCUCACUACCUGCAUGGGGUACUGUUUGCAUAUUCAGGAGUGUCCUUUACUAGAGCACGUCCUCUUUGCUCCCCACAUCGGAGCCAUUAGCACAAUAGUUCUCUUUUCAGAAAGCAGUGCUCUAAGUAUUUUGUUGAGAGAGAACAGAAUGAACUCACACAUACUUCACAGGCUCUUCCAGGAGGAGGAGGUCAAAGUCAACUAAAGAAGUCUGUUACAUGCCAGAAAAAAAUGUUUCAUAAUCCUGAACUUCCUGUUGCCCCCAAUUAGGCUGUGGAAUUACUUUCUGAUUGUCGGCAUAUUCUAAAUAUUAUCAACCUCUACUGACAAGUUAACCUAUAACAGGAAACUCAACAGACAGAGUAUAAUCCACACUGUGUUAUCUUUAUUAGAUAUACUUCGUCCUCCAAAGUUUAUAUGAAGCCCAGUGACUCACCAUCCAUACAUUUGGUUUGGCUGGUCUGGUUCAUACAUUUUGUUACUCUGGGUGUAAAGGAACAUUACAUAGUUGAUUCGUGCUUGAAUUUUUGCUGAAAGCUUGAGCAUGAAAAUGACUAAUUUCUAAACUGAAGAUCAGGAUAAAACUGAACUAAAAUGAAAUAUAAAUCCAGAUGUGUUUGGAGGUUAUAAUCCUGACCCCGUAUCACAAACAUGGGUUUUCUUUUUCCCCACCGAGCACAUCCUUUAAGGACUCAUCACUGCACAAAACUAAACUAUACAUAAUAUCUCAAGCUCUUAUGAAAUAUCAAUAAUUAUGAUUUGUUUCUAAAAUAAACAAAAUAAUCUAGCAGUACGGAUACAGGUUUUAAAUGCUACAAGAAGAAAUGGGAUAUAACAUAAUGAAAUGUAAUGAGCACUCCGUCUUCUAAAUCUACUUGUGAUUCUAACAUAUUCUUUCCUGUUGCCUUCUAAGCUAUAUUAGGAACCCCCGGAGACAGGGCAAGACACUGUAGGAAUAUGUUUGAUAUAUAGUUGGAUUAAAUAACAACCUAAUAUAUCAAACAUAUCACACAGAGGCCUGCAGAAAGGCAUCCAGGUCUGACUGAGCUGAGAAUGGGCACAGCA